rnacentral:rRNA from 1 species
GAUGAACGCUGGCGGCGUGCCUAAUACAUGCAAGUCGAGCGAACAGAUGAGGAGCUUGCUCCUCUGACGUUAGCGGCGGACGGGUGAGUAACACGUGGAUAACCUACCUAUAAGACUGGGAUAACUUCGGGAAACCGGAGCUAAUACCGGAUAAUAUAUUGAACCGCAUGGUUCAAUAGUGAAAGACGGUUUUGCUGUCACUUAUAGAUGGAUCCGCGCCGCAUUAGCUAGUUGGUAAGGUAACGGCUUACCAAGGCAACGAUGCGUAGCCGACCUGAGAGGGUGAUCGGCCACACUGGAACUGAGACACGGUCCAGACUCCUCGGGAGGCAGCAGUAGGGAAUCUUCCGCAAUGGGCGAAAGCCUGACGGAGCAACGCCGCGUGAGUGAUGAAGGUCUUCGGGUCGUAAAACUCUGUUAUUAGGGAAGAACAAAUGUGUAAGUAACUAUGCACGUCUUGACGGUACCUAAUCAGAAAGCCACGGCUAACUACGUG